AUACGGAGGGAGCAAGCGUUAAUCGGAAUUACUGGGCGUAAAGCGCGCGUAGGCGGAUUGUUAAGUCUCAUGUGAAGGCCCUGGGCUCAACCUGGGAACUGCAUGGGAUACUGGCAAUCUAGAAUACAGUAGAGGGUAGUGGAAUUUCAGGUGUAGCGGUGAAAUGCGUAGAGAUCUGAAGGAACAUCAGUGGCGAAGGCGACUACCUGGACUGAUAUUGACGCUGAGGUGCGAAAGCGUGGGGAGCAAACGGGAUUAGAAACCCCAGUAGUCC
rnacentral:rRNA from 1 species